GCGAGAGUGGCGGAAUUGGCAGACGCGCCAGAUUUAGGAUCUGGUGGGCAACCUUGGGGGUUCGAGUCCCCCCUCUCGCACCA
rnacentral:tRNA from 1 species